rnacentral:rRNA from 1 species
GGGGAAUCUUAGACAAUGGGCGCAAGCCUGAUCUAGCCAUGCCGCGUGAGCGAUGAAGGCCUUAGGGUUGUAAAGCUCUUUCGUGGGGGAAGAUAAUGACUGUACCCCAAGAAGAAGCCCCGGCUAACUCCGUGCCAGCAGCCGCGGUAAUACGGAGGGGGCUAGCGUUGUUCGGAAUUACUGGGCGUAAAGCGCACGUAGGCGGACUGGAAAGUCAGGGGUGAAAUCCCGGGGCUCAACCCCGGAACUGCCUUUGAAACUCCCAGUCUUGAGGUCGGGAGAGGUGAGUGGAAUUCCGAGUGUAGAGGUGAAAUUCGUAGAGAUUCGGAGGAACACCAGUGGCGAAGGCGGCUCACUGGCUCGAUACCGACGCUGAGGUGCGAAAGCGUGGGGAGCAAAC